GUGCUGGGGUAAAUGGCUGACAGAUACAAAGCAUACAUCACUUUUUACCCUACCCCUUAUCUACAAUUCCCCCCCACUUAUAUCCACCUUGCAUGAUCAGUGAGUACACAAGGUAAAGGAAUACAUGUUUACUGGACUAUACUCAAGUGAGCUAUAAAAACUAUAUCUGAUGGGUCUCCUCUGGAGGAGAAAAAGUGGAGAGAGUGGUUUGCUGCUUCUUUCCAUUUGUGUGAUCCUGAUUGAAUGGAGAAGAGUUGGAGGUUCUAUUUCAAAAGUGGGUGACUAUGUGGGACUGAAAGCCAUUGACGGGAAAAUCAUGCAAGUAGACAGCCUGGAGGAAUUCCGACAAGUUUGAUAUAACUUCAAAAACUGUGAUCUGCGUCAGUGACCCAUGACUGUGCAGCCAGACACAGUUCCAACACCAUCUUGAACUUUGCCGAUGAUACCACCAUUGUUGGACAAGUUAUGGGUAAUGAUGAAGCAGAGUAUAGGAGGGAGAUUGAAAAUUUGAUUGAAUGGUGCCAGAACAACAAUCUUGCUCUCAAGUAAAGACAAAAUGCUGGAGUAACUCAGGGGGUCAGGCAGCAUCUCUGGAGAACAUGGAUGGGAGAUGUUUCUGGUAGAAUGAUCCUGAUCAAUGUUCUCCAGAGAUGCAGCCUGGCCCAUUAAUUUACACCAGCACAUUGUGUCUUCCUUUUGUAAACUAAUUGCAAUAGUUCCUUGUUUAUCAAUCUUGCUCUCAACAUCAACAAGAACAAGACAUUUUUAGACUUUUUGAAGAGAUGCAGUGCGGAAAAAGGUCCUUGGUUCCACUGAUUCAGUGCCGACCAGCGAUCCUUGUACACUAGCACUAUCCUACACAUUAGGGACAAUUUACAUAUUUUACAGAAGCCAAUUACCUACAAACCUGCACGUCUUUGGAGUGUGGGAGGAAAACGGAACAUCCGGAGGAAACCCACGUGGUCACAGGGAGAACGCACAAACCCUGUACAGACAGCACACACACAGGAUUGAACCCGUGUCUCUGGCUCUGUAAGGCAGCUACUUUAUCUCUGUGCUGCCCCAAUAGUUGAUAGUGAUUUUAUAAGGAGAAAGUAGAAGAUCCACAAACCUAUCUUCAUCAGUGGGUUGAUGGUUGACAGAAUCAAUCAUUUCAACUUCCAGACCAAAUAACGUUCACUAUUCAGGAGCUGGUAAAACAGAGCAGACCAGGAACUUCAGGACUCAUUAUGGAAUUCCGGGCCUACCCACCUGACCCCCGUUUAUGUGUCAUGACACAUCUGCUACUAUAUAUCAACACAACCAAAGAUCCCCGAGGGAGAGAAAAGACACUAUGGGUCAGCUACAAAAAGCCACAUGGUCGGGUGUCAUGUCAAACCAUCUCUAGAUGACUCAAACAGGUAUUGGGAGAUGCUGGAGUGGAUACUGAUAUUUAUACAUCUCGCUCCACCAGGGCAGCAUCCACGUCAGCGGCUAACAGAAUGGACGUGCCAUUGGACCACAUCCUGGCAACAGCGGGGUGGGCCAUGGAAAGAACUUUCCAAACAUUCUACAACAAGCCAAUAGCAAAACUUGUUUCAUUUGCAGAGAGAAUUUUAGACUCUGCAAAUAUAUAAUUUAAGCCCGGGGGGAGCAUUAUUUUCUUUGUUAUUGUUUCAAAUAAAUAUCAUUAUUGUUUUAUAAACCGAUCCAUGUUUGUUUACGAUAACAUACUUCCUCCGUUGGAUGACUUCGGCAGUGAGUGAAGCAUGGACUGUUACACGGUUUGAAAUCACAGAGCUUUAAAAUCUUCACGUAGUCACUCACGUGACUCCGAAGUAAAAUAAUAAGAUUAAACGAGAACUUACCAGUUUGAAGUUUGAUCUUUAUUUUAUGAGGAGUUACGAUGAGGGAUUACGUGCCCUCCGCUCCCACCCUCAAUUAUAAAGGUCAACUGGUAUCUUAGUUCGCCUUAUCUUUACUAUGUUUAUUUCAAUUAUUGUGUUGUUUCUGUGAUUCCACACCGCUGCUUUGAAGUAUGUCAUGCAUGCGUGCUGGCGAGGAUCUUCACGUAAUCCCGCAUCGUAACUCCUCAUAAAAUAAAGAUCAAACUUCAAACUGGUAAGUUCUCGUUUAAUCUUACUAUUAUCUUUGAUUAUAUAUCAUCAAUGUGUAUUGUUACAGGCCUAUUUUGCUGCUAAAAGUAAGAAAUGUUGUCAUAAAUGUGGCCAUCAAACACUCUUGACUCUCUUGACUCUUGAAGAACUACUCACAAUUACAUGCAUACUUGCAUUACACCAAGACAACAUAAUUGACAUUUCUUCUUGGGGGAUAUGGCCAGCAAGAAAUGCAUUAUAUAUAUAUACAUCUUCUCCUACCCAUCUCCAUCACUGCUGGGCUGAAGAAGAUCCCUCUUCAAUGAUCAGCUGCAUCUUUUCCUCCUUUAUCCCACCACCAUUUGCUUCUUCCAUUUCUCCCCUGUACCAAUCAGUCAUCCUCUUUUACCCAUUCCAGUUAGUGGCAACACAUGCCCCUCUUGCAAUGUUCCCACCUCACAAUAAUCUGCCAAUAAUUGCCAAUUAGACUACUCCCACCGAUGUUAACCACAACUUGCAGUACUUACUAAUAUUUCUAUGACCAAGGCAUAGAUGGAUAAAAUAAGGAGAAACAGGACCAGUAUAAGAAUAAGGGCGGCACAAUGGCACAACAGUGGAGUUGCUGCCUUACAGCCCCAGAAACCCGGGUUCGAUCCUGACUACAAGUGCUCUCUGUAAGGAGUUUGUAUGUUCUUCCUGUGACUGCGUGGGAUUCCUCCGGGUGCUCCAGAUUCCUCCCGUAUUCUAAAGACGUGCAGGUUUGUAGGUUAAUUGGUUUCUGUAAAUUGUCCCUAGUGUGUAGGAUAGGACUAGUGUUUGGGUGAUCGUUGCUCGUCACGGAAUCGGUGGGAUGAAGGGGCUGUUUCCACAUUUUAUCUCUAAACUAAACCAAAAUAUGGUCAACUUGGUAAUGGUGGAUCAAGAGGUUAUUUCUAUACUGUACAAUUCUGCGACUCUAUCAGCUUACUAUUGUCUUCUCAAUGUUAUCAUCUCUGACCGCUGUCAGAUCCUCCGUCCUGAAUAUUGCAACACUGUACUCUUUGAAAUCCUUUACCACCUCUGUCAUUCCUUACUCAACUACAACAUAGACAAAGAAACAUAGAAACAUCGAAAAUAGGUGCAGGAGAAGGCCAUUUGGUCCUUCGAGCCAGCACCGCCAUUCAUUGUGAUCAUGGCUGAUCAUCCACAAUCAAUAACCCAUGCCUGCCUUCUCCCUAUAUCCCUUGAUUCCGCUAGCCCCUAAAGCUCUAUCUAAUUAUCUUUUAAAUUCAUCCAGUGAAUUGGUCUCUACUGCCUUCUAGUAGAGAAUGCCACAAAUUCACAACUCUCUGGGUGAAAACGUUUUUUCUCAUCUCAGUUUUAAAUGGCCUCCCCUUUAUUCUUAGACUGUGGCCCCUGGUUCUGGACUCCCCCAAAAUUGGAAACAUUUUUCCUGCAUCUAGCUUGUCCAGCCCAUUUUAUAAUUGUAUACGUUUCUAUAAGAUCCCCUCUCAUCCUAAAUUCCAAUCUUUUCUCAUAUGACAGUACCGCCAUUCCGGGAAUUAACCUCGUGAACCUACGCUACACUGCCUCAAUAGCAAUGAUGUUCUUCCUCAAAUUAAUAGACCAAAACUGCACACAAUACUGCAGAUGUGAUCUCACCAAGGCCCUGUACAACUGCAGAAGGACCUCUUUACUCCUAUACUCAAAACCUCUCGUUAUGAAGGCCAACAUGCCAUUAGCUUUCUUCACUGCCUGCUGUUCCUGCAUGUUUACUUUCAGUGACUGGUGUACAAGGACAUCCAGGUCUUGUUGCACCUCCCUUUUUCCUAAUCUGACACUAUUGAGAUAAUAAUCUGCCUCCUUGUUCUUGCCACCAAAGUGUAUAACCUCACAUUUAUCUACA